ACAUACACAGCUGUGGAGGGGGCGGGGCGGAAGGCGGAAGUGUUUGUUCCAGUACAGCAGUGGGUUCAGCUGGGGAUUCUGAGAAGUUCUGUGCCCCCUGAGGUCCAGUGGGGACCCCUGCAGCCUGGGUCUGUGGGGGUGACAGCACCCAGUGUUGGGGUGUGACGGAGGCAGGAUGGUGUGUGAAUUCUUCCUCCUCUCCUCCAUAUGGUUCGUGGUGGUCAUAUUUUGGAUGGAGACGAUCAGUAUGUGGCUGUUUCUAUGCCAUCUAUUCCAGGACAGAGCCAUGUACCAGUGGGGAGACAGGAUUUACGUCUCCCAUCCUGACCAGAUCAUGUACGUAAUUAUUAGAGUUGAUUCGCUGCGGUAGCCCCACAGUGAAGCUGGAUGACUAAAAGGAACAUAAAGGGAAAUUAUGGACACUUUCACUAAUAUCAAAAAGGGAGAAGAUGCAAUUUUUAAUAAGUCAGUAUUUUGUAGAUUUGUUUUUAUAAUGACUGUAAACAUACUGGAGCUCCUCUCGAGUGAUGUGAGGAUACGUCUUGGAAGAGGGAAAUGAUAUCUCUGGGCAGGAAAGGGUCACCCCUAUCACAUGUCGGCUUGGGAUCUGAUGGACAUCAGAAUCCUCUGUCUGGACGCCAUCUAUAUCAAGAGAUCAAGACCUAUUCAGAUGUGACUUGUUUUUUCUUACACAUAAAUCAAGCCCAUUGUCUUUCAGCAAAUUUCUGUUUCGGUAUUUCUAUCUUUUAAAAAUAAAUCUUAUUUUCAAUUAAA